CUACGGGGUGCUCCAGUGGGGAAUAUUGCACAAUGGAGGAAACUCUGAUGCAGCAACGCCGCGUGGAGGAUGACACUUUUCGGAGCGUAAACUCCUUUUAUAUAGGAAGAAGAUGACGGUACUAUAUGAAUAAGCGCCGGCUAAGUCCGUGCCAGCAGCCGCGGUAAUACGAAGGGCGCAAGCGUUACUCGGAAUCACUGGGCGUAAAGAGCGUGUAGGCGGAUUAAAAAGUCAGAAGUGAAAUCCUAUAGCUUAACUAUAGAACUGCUUCUGAAACUCUUAAUCUAGAAUGUGGGAGAGGUAGAUGGAAUUUCUGGUGUAGGGGUAAAAUCCGUAGAGAUCAGAAGGAAUACCGAUUGCGAAGGCGAUCUACUAGAACAUUAUUGACGCUGAGACGCGAAAGCGUGGGGAGCAAACAGGAUUAGAUACCCCAGUAGUC
rnacentral:rRNA from 1 species